rnacentral:rRNA from 1 species
GACGAACGCUGGCGGCGUGCCUAAUACAUGCAAGUAGGACGCAGUUGCGAACGGGUGAGUAACGCGUAGGUAACUACCUAUUAGAGGGGGAUAACUAUUGGAAACGAUAGCUAAUACCGCAUACUAGUAGAUGGACCUUCGUUGUAUUAGGUAGUCGGUAGGGUAAUGGCCUACCUAGGCAACGAUACAUAACCGACCGGAGGGGGUGAUCGGGCACACUGGGAAUUGGACACGGCCCAGACUCCUACGGGAGGGAGCAGGAGGGAAUCUUCGGAAAUGGGGGGAAACCUGACCGAGCAACGCCGCGUGAGUGAAGAAGGUUUUCGGGUUGGAAAGCUCUGUUGUUAAGGAAGCGGUACCUAACCAGAAAGGGACGGCUAACUACGUGCCAGCAGCCGCGGUAAUUC